AGCUACGGUGUUACGAGCAAAAUACCAAGUAAUCUGUUGUUUAUCAACUGAUGCUACUUGUAACCAGUCGAUGUUGCAAUAACUGUCUUAUGUUGUGGCAAACAGAAUGCAUCCAACUCGGUUUUCACCGGAUGUGAUGUCACUCCAAAUGCGGAGUUACAACUUAUGAGUACAAAUUGAAUGCAGCAACUUUAAUACAAGAUAUAUUUUAAUAAAUUUGAAUCAGCUCUAACAGGGAGUGAUUAUUUCUUUGACUUCCUGUGCAGACUGAAAGCUGCCGGAAACUUUCCAACGUGACCCGAGCUUUUUGUCUCCACCGCCUGCUGCUGUCGCUGCUGUCGCUGUCUGCUCUCAUCAACGCCAAGCUCAUGUCAAACAAGUCCUGCAGGAGUAUGAGGAUGAGCUUUACUCAAAAAGCAUGUGACCAUCAUGACAUUGGCCUGGCAGAGAGUGAGCCUGUGCUCCAGCCGAGCGGUCACCACUUCAAGGGCCUCCAGAUGCUCCAGGGAAUCCACCUCGAAAGUCUGCCACAGGUCGACUGGAGAAGGACAGCAAAGCAUUCAGAAGCAUGAGGUUGUGCUUGGCCUGUUCCAGAUCUCUCCUCAGGCUGUUGUAUUUGGCUCGGACCUCUGAGAUCCUCUGCCGACGGUGUUCCAGAAACUUCAGCUUGGCACUGAAGCAUGCGGGCCCCUGAAAAUACGAAC